rnacentral:rRNA from 1 species
GUGUCAGCAGCCGCGGUAAUACGUAGGGACCAAGCGUUGUUCGGAUUUACUGGGCGUAAAGGGCGCGUAGGCGGCAAUUCAAGUCAGCUGUGAAAUCUCCGGGCUUAACUCGGAACGGUCAGCUGAUACUGCUUUGCUAGAGUGCGGAAGGGGCAAUCGGAAUUCUCGGUGUAGCGGUGAAAUGCGUAGAUAUCGAGAGGAACACCUGAGGUGAAGACGGGUUGCUGGGCCGACACUGACGCUGAUGCGCGAAAGCCAGGGUAGCAAACGGGAUUAGAUACCCCGGUAGUCCUGGCCCUAAACGAUGAAUACUUGGUGUCUGGAGUCAUUAUUGCUCCGGGUGCCGUCGCUAACGUUUUAAGUAUUCCGCCUGGGGAGUACGCACGCAAGUGUGAA